rnacentral:tRNA from 2 species
GCCCAGGUGGCGGAAUUGGUAGACGCAGCAGACUCAAAAUCUGCCGUUCGCAAGGAUGUGCUGGUUCGAUUCCAGUCCUGGGCACAA